rfam:Salmo salar isolate Sally breed double haploid chromosome ssa07, whole genome shotgun sequence.
AUGACUGAUUUCUUCUGGUGUUUAGAGCCCCUUACAGCCUUCUAGCACCAUUUGAAAUCGGUUAU